rnacentral:rRNA from 1 species
UGCGGAGGGAUCAUUACUGAGUGAGGGCCCUUGCGGUCCGACCUCCAACCCUUUGUUAUCCAACUCUGUUGCCUCGGGGGCGACCCGGCCUUCGGGCGUCGGGGCCCCCGGUGGACCCAAUCAAUAACCCUGCAUCUUUGCGUCGGAGUACACAUUUGAAUCAAUCAAAACUUUCAACAACGGAUCUCUUGGUUCUGGCAUCGAUGAAGAACGCAGCGAAAUGCGAUAAGUAAUGUGAAUUGCAGAAUUCAGUGAAUCAUCGAAUCUUUGAACGCACAUUGCGCCCCCUGGCAUUCCGGGGGGCAUGCCUGUUCGAGCGUCAUUACACCACUCAAGCCUGGCUUGGUAUUGGGCGUCGCGCCUCCGCGCGCGCCCUAAUGUCGCCGGCCGAGCCGUCCGUCUCUAAGCGUUGUGCAAACUAUCCGCUGGUGAGAAGGGGGGCGUCGCGCCGUUAAACCUGGACUCGCGUCCAUCCAAGGUUGACCUCGGAUCAGGUAGGGAUACCCGCUGAACUUAAGCAUAUCAAUAAGCGGAGGAA